rnacentral:lncRNA from 1 species
AUGAUUUCUGGUUUGUUAACCUCAGGUGACAAAAAUGCCGAGCCAGGCGGGAGCUGGACCUACAAUCUUCUGCUGCGUGGUCAGACACGUUAUCCAUUGCGCCACUGGUCUACCACGCAACUCCUCCACUGGCCGUUGAAUUACUGCGUGUUGAGAACACACUCGGCAACCACUUUAAAGGGCAACGCAGGCUGGGACUCAUCUGAGGCUAAGCUGCCCAUCGUUCGGGGAGACCCUCAGGGAAAACAAAACAAGAAACAGAGAACUUGGAAACGGACACUGAUUACUUUGAACGUUUGCUCAGCCGGGGAAGCAGGAACUGUUCGGCCCCGGGCGGGCUGCCUGGCUCCGGACAGAGGACAGAUCCGAGGUGGAUGGAUAAGGCAAAAGGUAGCCCUGGGGAGGUGAGUGGAUAAAGUCCCUGGACACAGGGGCUGCCCUUGGAGGAGGUUCUUAUGUCAUUGUCCUCCAGUGGAAGUAACUGUGCAGAAUUAACUAGAGACCAGCGAUGAGAGAGAAUUAAUUGGAUAAAAAUUUUAUCUAGGGCAGUCCUUGAGCGUAAUUUUGUUAAGCAAAGACAAGACAAAAACAAAACGAGUAAAACCCAAACACACAUCCACACACUCACUGAAAGAUUCAAAGAUAAAACAGAACACAAAGACUUUUCUGGUAAUAAAAUCUCCCUAUCCUAAUUUUCUAGAAAAAAAGCUGUUGAAGCCACCCCGCAGUUCUUACAAGACAAAACACAAAUCUUCCACACAAAAGCAGAAAUACAGUAUUAUCCUUUGUGAGGAGUGCAGCAAAUAAAUGAUAUUUCUUCAGGGUCCUAGGCAACCUGUAUACUUUUGUUACCAGUGUAUACAACAUGCUAUGGUUUAUUGCUGUCUUUCAUUUUCUAGAGUGGUCUCCAUUUUUACCUCGUUUUAUUAUUUUCAAUAGUCUUUCAAUUGAAUAUGUUGUAAAUUACUUGAAAUAUAACAUCAUGAUGUUCAUAAAAACAAAUUCACAAAGUAAGAAAAAGAAUUCUUUUAUCAGAUGCCAUGUCCCAGUUUCUAGUUUGGGAUUAUGGGCGUUCUAGCUGGCUGAGGGGAGGAACUGGCAGUGAAACUUUAAGUGACCGAAAGAGCAAGAAGUAAGUAAUAAGUCAAAGGAAUAGCAAGUAAUGCACCCAAAACCCAGUGUAGGACACACGUUUGGGGGAGGUGACCUGGGCCAGAACUCAAAGGAUAUCUCAGAGUCAGCAACCCAAACUGGGAAUGGAAUUCACAUACAAAGCUCAAAGGUAUCAAUCAGGAAGCAGUAAUGCAUAGUGGUUAGUCAGGCAGACUGUGAAACCUGAUGGCCUUUCUUGGCUUUGCUACUUCUAACUGUAUGACCACAGGCAGGUUGCUUGACAUUUCGGUGCUUCAGUGUCUUUGUUUCUCAAAUGGGGAUAUAAUAAUAAUACCUACUUUUAAUUAAGAUAUAACAUGUAAAAGCCUUAGUACAGUGCCUGGCACAUAGUAAACACAAAAUAAACAUUAGCUGUUAUCAGUGUGCAAGGAAGGAAGAAACAGAAACAUAAAGUGUCAUUUCCCUGGCAAACUGCAGAGAUUCGACACAUUUCAGCACCUGGAGGCCUGGCAAGCAUAGCAUCAUACAGUGAAGGCCUGGGGGAAUUAGUCUAAGGGUUUGUAUAUGUGUUUAUAUAAACAUAUAUGGAAGUGCUUGGAAAGAGGUGCUUGGAUCUACUGUGUAGGGAAAGUAGGAAGAACAAUGCUAAAAAUACAAUAUGAUGGUUAGAUAUAUUAUGGUGUGGCCGUGUAAUGAAAUAUAUAUAGCCCUCAGAAUUGUAUUUAUUAAGAACUUACAUUGACAUGGGAAAUGUUAAUAAUCAUGCUUAGAAAUAAAGUAGGUAUAGAGCAAUAUAAACAAGCAUAAGUUAUUUAUAGAAAAGACUAGAAACAGGCUGGCAUGGUGGCUCAUGCCUAUAAUCCCAGCACUUUGAGAGGCCCAGGCAAACAAAUCCCUUGAAGUCAGGAGUUCGAGACCAGCCUGGGCAACAUGGUGAAACCCUGUCUCUAAAAAAAAUACAAAAAUUAGCUGUAUGCGGUGGCAUGUACCUGUGAUCCCAGCUGCUCGGGAGGGUAAGGUAGGAAGAUCUCUUGAACCUGAGAGGUCAAGGCUGCAGUGAGCAGUGAUUGCACCACUGCACUCCAGCUUGGGUGACAGAGGGAGACCCCGUCUCAAAAAAAAAAAAAGAAGAAGAAAAAGAAAAAAAAAAAGACUGGAAACAUGCAUUAAAAUGUUAACAACAAUAAUGAUCUUUGGUAGUAUGAUUACUGUGAUAUAUUUUCCUUAAAAUUUUAAACUAUUUUCUAAGUUUUCUGAAAUAAACAAUAUUUUUAAAUUGGAACUAGGGAUGACUUUAAAAAAAUUAACAGCUGACAUCAACCCAGCACUUCCUACAAGCCGAGCACAGCUCUAGGUACUUUACAUGUUGUAACUUAUUUCUCUCAUAAAGAGAACACCAGGCCCAAAUGGCUUCAGUACUGAAUUCUACCAAAGAGUUAAGGAAGAAAAAAAAUACCAAUUAUAUACAAAUUUUUCCAAAAAAAAAUGAUGAAAAAGGAGUACUUUCCAACUCAUUCUAUGAAGUCUCUGAUACCAAAAUUAGGCAAAGACAUUACAGAAAAAGAAAACUACAGACCAAUAUAGCUUAUGAAUAUAGAUGCAAAAAUUCUCAACAAAAUUUUAGCCAAGUAAAUCCAACAACAUAUAAAAAGGAAAAUACGUUAUGACUAAGUGAGAUUUAUCCCAGGAAUACAAGACUGGCUCAACAUUCAAAUUCAUAACAUUAAACAGAUUAAAGAAAAAAAAUCAUGUGAUCAUCUGAGCAGAUGCAGAAAAAUCAUUUGACCAAAUUCAACAUCCAUUCCUGCUUUUAAAAACUGUCACCAAAUUUAGAGGGGAAGGGAACUCAUUCAACCUGAUAAAGGACAUAAGUGAAACACAUGCAGCUUACAUUAUGCUUAAUAUUAAAGAACAGUGCUUUCCUCCUAAGACCAAGACCAAGGCAAGGGUGUUUUCAGCUCUCAUCAGGGCAAUAAAGCAAAGGAAAUGAAGUAAAAGAUCUCCAUAUAGGAAAGGAAGAGGGAAAACUGUUUCUGUGUGCACAUCUCACUUUUAAACAGUAUUGGUUACAUGUUGAAAUGAUAAUAUUUUAGAUGUUCUGGGGUUAAGUAAAAUUUUUAUUUAUUUUUAGAUUUUUUAAAUGUGGCUAUUACAAAAUUUAAAAUCAUGUAUAUGGAACAUAUUUGUCACAUACAUCUUAUGUCUUUGGACAGUGCAAGUCAGAGAGAUAGGCAAGGGCCAGAUCACAUCAGGUCUUGGGACCACAGUGAGGAUUAAUACCUUUAUCCUAGAGGUGAUGUGACCAUUAAUAGGAUUUAAAUAAGGGGUGACUUGUGAGAAGUGGAUUGCAGAAGGCAAGAGUGAAUUCAGAG